UACGAAGGGGGCUAGCGUUGCUCGGAAUUACUGGGCGUAAAGCGCACGUAGGCGGCUCUUUAAGUCGGGGGUGAAAGCCUGUGGCUCAACCACAGAAUGGCCUUCGAUACUGGGACGCUUGAGUAUGGUAGAGGUUGGUGGAACUGCGAGUGUAGAGGUGAAAUUCGUAGAUAUUCGCAAGAACACCGGUGGCGAAGGCGGCCAACUGGACCAUUACUGACGCUGAGGCGCGAAAGCGUGGGGAGCAAACAGG
rnacentral:rRNA from 1 species